GCUUGGUGGCACAGGCCUGGAAUCCAGCUAUUCAGAAGGCUGAGGCAGAAGGACCACAAGUUCAAGGCCAGACUGGGCUCUAUAGUGAGAUCCAGGGCAGCCCGGGCAACUUAAUGAGACCUUGUCUCAAAAUCAAAAGUAAAAGGAGGACUGAGAACAUAGGUUGAAGGGAUGUUGGGGAUAAAAGUGAAACAAAUAGAGAAAUGUUCUACGGCUGCGCUCCAUCCUCAGCCUGGCAUUUUGUGACGGGUCUUACUUAUAUAUGUAGUCCACACUGGCCUUGGACUACUGCUCUUUCUGCCUCUGCCACUGGAAUGCUGGGAAUACGGGUGUGCUCACCACCUUAGCAACAAAAGGGUUGUUCGUAAACGUGCAGGUAGAGCAAAGACAUACUCUGAAGACCCAAAGCCUUGUGGAGACUGGAAACAGCAGUGAGGCAGAGAAAACCUGUCUGGGAGGAUUGCUCAAUGGGAAGGAGUCCCGCCCUUUGGUGGAGAGACUUGAGUCACUUUGAUGACCUGGCAGGAAAAGGACAGGGAAACACAUUCCCAUGCUGGAGAACCCUGCUAUUAAGGUUGCAGUCCACCAUGUCCAGAUGGCUCUCCGAGCUCGGCAUAAAAUGGAGGACUGCCUUUCUCAGCGGGGCUUCCAUUUCUCUGCUGGACUUUGUUUUGAGAGUGUCUCUGAGCACAGAUGACUGACCUUACUUGGAGGAUGACCCUGCAUAGAGCUUCCCGCAAGUGCUGCAUGACUCAGCAGAUGAGCCCCCCCCUCUCUCUCUGUCUCUCUCUCUCUUCCUCUCCCUUUCUCUCUCUCUCUGUCUCUCUGUCUUUCUCUCUCUGCCUGCCUGUAUAAUUAGGCACUGUUAAUGAGCAAUUGACCCUUCCCGCCUCUAUGAUAAUUAGACACUACUGUGUUAUGACCAAUCGACCCUUACCACCCACAACCCCCAAAGCCCCUAUGUACUGUACCCCUGAGGUAAUAAAGUGGAGCUGUCCCACAGAA